AUUGAACGCUGGCGGCAGGCCUAACACAUGCAAGUCGAGCGAGCGGCGGACGGGUGAGUAAUGUAUGGGAAACUGCCUGAUGGAGGGGGAUAACUACUGGAAACGGUAGCUAAUACCGCAUACCAUCAGAUGUGCACAGAUGGGAUUAGCUAGUAGGUGGGGUAACGGCUCACCUAGGCGACGAUCCCUAGCUGGUGUGAGAGGAUGACCAGCCCACCGAGACCGGAGCAACGGCACGGACUCCUACGGGAGGCAGCGGAGGGGAAUGUUGCACAAUGGGCGCGAGCCUGAUGCAACCAUGCCGCGUGUGGGAAGGAGGCCUUCGGGUUGUAAAGCACGUUCAGCGGGGAGGCGUUACCCGCAGAAGAAGCACCGGCUAACUCCGUGCCAGCCGCCGCGGUAAUAC
rnacentral:rRNA from 1 species